rnacentral:rRNA from 1 species
CUUAAAUACAUAGAGAGUCAGACCUGCCCAGUGACAAUUUAAUAAUAGAUUCAACGGCCGCGGUACCCUGACCGUGCAAAGGUAGCAUAAUCACUUGCUUCAUAAUUAGAGGCUUGCAUGAACGGUUCCACAAGAGCAACUCUGUCUCCUUAAAAUUUAUAGAAUUUGGUUUUUAGGUGAAGAAACCUAGAUACUAUUAAAAGACAAGAAGACCCUAUCGAGCUUUAAAGUAAUUUAUUGAGAUAUAACAAAUACCAAUUUCAAUAAAAAAUUUUGGUUGGGGCGACUAAGGAACAUAUAAAGCUUCCUCUUAAUCACAUUAACCAAUAAGUACUGAUCCAAAAUUUUUGAUUAAAAAAAAUAGUUACCGUAGGGAUAACAGCAUAAUCUUUUUUAAGAGUUCUUAUCGAAAAAAAGGUUUGUGACCUCGAUGUUGGACUAGGAUAUCCCGAAAGGUGCAGAAAUCUUCAAUGGUUAGUCUGUUCGACUA